UAGCAUGCUAUCCUAAGGAUCCGAGCUCCUCAUAGCUUCUGGUUCUCCAAAUGCAUGCGAGAUGAGGAUUGGGCGGUCUUUGACUGUUGAGGCCCCUCUUUGCCACCAGCAGCCACUCAGCUGCCCUACAGUG
rnacentral:snoRNA from 1 species